AUUGAACGCUGGCGGCAUGCCUUACACAUGCAAGUCGAGCGGCAGCACGGGUGCUUGCACCUGGUGGCGAGUGGCGAACGGGUGAGUAAUACAUCGGAACGUACCUUAUCGUGGGGGAUAACGCAGCGAAAGUUGCGCUAAUACCGCAUACGCCCUGAGGGGGAAAGCGGGGGACCGUAAGGCCUCGCGCGAUUAGAGCGGCCGAUGUCUGAUUAGCUUGUUGGUGAGGUAAAAGCUCACCAAGGCGAUGAUCAGUAGCUGGUCUGAGAGGACGAUCAGCCACACUGGGACUGAGACACGGCCCAGACUCCUACGGGAGGCAGCAGUGGGGAAUUUUGGACAAUGGGGGCAACCCUGAUCCAGCAAUGCCGCGUGAGUGAAGAAGGCCUUCGGGUUGUAAAGCUCUUUUGUCAGGGAAGAAACAGCAGCUCUAACACAGUCUGCGAAUGACGGUACCUGAAGAAUAAGCACCGGCUAACUACGUG
rnacentral:rRNA from 1 species